CAGCCGCCGCGGGAAUACGGAGGGGGCUAGCGUUGUUCGGAAUUACUGGGCGUAAAGCGUGCGUAGGCGGUUCGUUAAGUCUGUUGUGAAAGCCCCGGGCUCAACCUGGGAAUGGCAAUGGAUACUGGCGAGCUAGAGUGUGUCAGAGGAUGGUGGAAUUCCCGGUGUAGUGGUGAAAUGCGUAGAGAUCGGGAGGAACAUCAGUGGCGAAGGCGGCCAUCUGGGACAACACUGACGCUGAGGCACGAAAGCGUGGGGAGCAAACAGGAUUAGAUACCCGCGUAGUCCCUGUCUCUUAUAC
rnacentral:rRNA from 1 species